GGUAAAAUGGCUGAUAAUAGGCGGUAGAUUGUAAAUUUACUUAUGAAAAUAAUUUCUUUUACCA
rnacentral:tRNA from 1 species